AGGUUUGAUCCUGGCUCAGGUGGGCGCUGGCGGGAUCGCUUUACAUGCAAGUCGAACGGCGGCACGGACUUCGGUCUGGUGGCGAUGGCGAACAGGUGAGUAAUGUAUCGGAACACGUGCCCUAGUAGCGGGGGAUAACUACGCGAAAGCGUAGCUAAUACCACAUACGCCCUUCAGGAAAGCGGGGUUCCUUCGGGCCUCGCAUAGCCGACAGCCGAUAUCGGAUUAGCUGGUUGGUGAGGUAACGGCUCACCAAGGCGACGAUCCGUAGCUGGUUUAGAGAGGACGACCAGCCACGCCAGGACUGAGACACGGCCCAGACUCCUACGGGGAGGCAGCAGUGGGGAGUGCCUGGACGUGGAAGCCCUGAUCCAGCCAUCCCGCGCGUGUGCGAUGAAGGCGCUGGUUGUAAAGCACUUUUGGCAGGAAAGAAACGGCCUGGGAUAAUACCCGUGCAACUGACAGUACCUGCAGAAUAAGCACCGGCUAACUACGUGCCAGCAGCCGCAGUAAUACGUAGGGUAAGCGUUAAUCGGAAUUACUGGGCGUAAAGCGUGCGCGGUUCGGAAAGAAGAUGUGAAAUCCAGAGCUUAACUUUUGGAACUGCAUUUUUAACUACCGAAGGCUAGAGUGUGUCAGAGGAGGUGGAAUUCCCGAUAUCUUGAUGAAAUACAUGAAUGUGCCGGAGGAACACGGAAAAUGGCGAAGGCAGCCUGCAGAUGCUGGCGCUCAUGCACGAAAAGCGUGGGGAGCAAACAGGAUUAGAUACCCUGGUGAGGUCCGCGCCCCUAAACGAUGUCAACUAGCUGUUGGGGCUGGAGCCGCAGUGCUGACGCAACUAACGCGUGAAGUUGACCGCCUGGGGAAAUACGAGUCGCAAGAUUAAAACUCAAAGGAAUUGACGGGGACCCGCACAAGCGGUGGAUGAUGUGGAUUAAUUCGAUGCAACGCGAAAACCUUACCUACCCUUGACAUGUCUGGAAUCCCGAAGAGAUUUGGGAGUGCUCGCAAGAGAACCGGAACACAGGUGCUGCGCAAAACAUGUGGCUCAUGUCGUGAGAUGUUGGGUUAAGUCCCGCAACGAGCGCAACCCUUGUCAUUAGUUGCUGAAGACUCUAAUGCAGGACUGCCGGUGACAAACCGGAGGAAGGUGGGGAUGACGUCAAGUCCUCACUUGGCCCUUAUGGGUAGGGCUUCACGCACGUCAUACAAUGGUGGGACAGAGGUCGCCAACCCCGCAGUAGCUUGAUCAUGGUCCGGAUCUGAUCUGCAACUCGGCCGUGAAGUCGGAAUCGCUAGUAAUCGGAUCAGCAUGUCGCGGUGAAUACGUUCCCGGGUCUUGUACACACCUUACGUCACACACCAUGGGAGUGGUUUUACCAGAAGUAGUUAGCCUAACCGUAAGGAGGGCGAUUACCACGGUAGGAUUCAUGACUGGGGUGAAGUCAUGUGAGUAA
rnacentral:rRNA from 1 species